ACAUUCGUAAGAAUCAAAUAACAAAGAUUACAAAGUGUUUUUUUGAUCUAAUUUUUUGUUCUCCCGUCCGAG